GCCAGCCCGCUCAGAAACUCAAAGGAAUUGACGGGGGCCCGCACAAGCGGUGGAGCAUGUGGUUUAAUUCGAUGAUACGCGAGGAACCUUACCUGGGCUCAAAUGUAUGUUGACGUAUUCUGAAAGGGAUACUUCUUCGGACAAUAUACAAGGUGCUGCAUGGUUGUCGUCAGCUCGUGCCGUGAGGUGUCGGGUUAAGUCCCAUAACGAGCGCAACCCCUAUCAUUAGUUGCCAUCAGGUAAUGCUGGGGACUCUAAAGGAACUGCCUACGCAAGUAGUGAGGAAGGCGGGGAUGACGUCAAAUCAGCACGGCCCUUACGUCCAGGGCUACACACGUGCUACAAUGGCCGAUACAGAGGGCAGCUACCUGGUGACAGGAUGCAAAUCUCCAAAGUCGGUCUCAGUUCGGAUCGGAGUCUGCAACCCGACUCCGUGAAGUUGGAUUCGCUAGUAAUCGCGCAUCAGCCAUGGCGCGGUGAAUACGUUCCCGGGCCUU
rnacentral:rRNA from 1 species